ACUUCACUUUUUUUACAUUAUCACAUAUCCAUUGACGUUUUAUUAAAAGAAAAGUUUCAUUUGAGGUUCUUUUAGCAGAGAAAAGUGUAUUAAAGUAUGCUUUCCUUUGGACUUUUAACCUAAGAUUGUUUGUUUUCUAACCUAAUGUUGAAUGGUUUUUAAGGGUGAAGUCCCAUGAUGAGUGUAAAGUGCAAAAUACAAAGUGCUUCAUAAACAUAGACGAGGAAACUCAUUGCCUUGUGAUAGGCGAAGAUGGGCUCCUCCAUUAUCCAAAAGUAAAAGAAAAUGGUUCGAAGAAGUCAUAUUAAUUAAUGAAGUUAGUAAGCGGCCAAAAUGAUAUGAUCGUUCCGAAAGGUAUCAUGAAACACCAGAAGAAAGAGAAAGAAUUUGGGAAGAAAUUGCUAAUUUAUUUUCUGAUCUUUCGCUCCCGCAUUGAAGAGGCAGUGGAAAAAUCUACGAGCUCAAUAUUCCAGAACUGAAACUGUUUAGUUCCGACAUCAUUAUUUGAUAAACUGUAUUGAAAACGCAAGCGCUGACGAAAUUCUACCUGAUACUGAAACUCAUAAUGAAAUUGUCAAUGAAAGAUUGACUGUUGAAAAUUCUAACCACGUAUCAGUGCAAAACUCG